GAUGAACGCUGGCGGCGUGCCUAAUACAUGCAAGUCGAGCGAACGGACGAGAAGCUUGCUUCUCUGAUGUUAGCGGCGGACGGGUGAGUAACACGUGGAUAACCUACCUAUAAGACUGGGAUAACUUCGGGAAACCGGAGCUAAUACCGGAUGAUAUUUUGAACCGCAUGGUUCAAAAGUGAAAGACGGUCUUGCUGUCACUUAUAGAUGGAUCCGCGCUGCAUUAGCUAGUUGGUAAGGUAACGGCUUACCAAGGCAACGAUGCAUAGCCGACCUGAGAGGGUGAUCGGCCACACUGGAACUGAAACACGGUCCAGACUCCUACGGGAGGCAGCAGUAGGGAAUCGUCCGCAAUGGGCGAAAGCCUGACGGAGCAACGCCGCGUGAGUGAUGAAGGUCUUCGGAUCGUAAAACUCUGUUAUUAGGGAAGAACAUAUGUGUAAGUAACUGUGCACAUCUUGACGGUACCUAAUCAGAAAGCCACGGCUAACUACGUG
rnacentral:rRNA from 1 species